AGAAGUGGGAGAACAUACUUCUUGAGAUUUUUUAAAUAGUCUUGAUUUUAGGUUCUUUAGACUGGAUAACUCUUUGGUGAACCAAGGAUGUUUCGCAGAUCUAGUCGGACAUGAAAGUGGGACACACGUGCCAAAAAUUGUGUCAAGUACAUUGUAAUAAAUGUUUGUGCCUUCAAGAACGUCCGUGCACAAGUACAGAGCGGACCAAUCAAAAUCCCUAAUUAAGUUAUUAAGCUUCGCAAACUC
rnacentral:lncRNA from 1 species